ACGCACGCUGGCGGCAUGCCUCACACCUGCAAGUCGAACGCGACCUUCGGGUCUAGUGGCGCACGGGUGCGUCACGCGUGGGAACCUGCCCUUAGGUUCGGAAUAACUCCCCGAAAGGGGUGCUAAUACCGGAUAAUGUCUUCGGACCAAAGAUUUAUCGCCUUUGGAUGGGCCCGCGUUGGAUUAGCUAGUUGGUAGGGUAAAAGCCUACCAAGGCGACGAUCCAUAGCUGGUCUGAGAGGAUGAUCAGCCACACUGGGACUGAGACACGGCCCAGACUCCUACGGGAGGCAGCAGUGGGGAAUAUUGGACAAUGGGCGAAAGCCUGAUCCAGCAAUGCCGCGUGAGUGAUGAAGGCCUUAGGGUUGUAAAGCUCUUUUACCCGGGAUGAUAAUGACAGUACCGGGAGAAUAAGCUCCGGCUAACUCCGUG
rnacentral:rRNA from 1 species